UGAAGAACUUGUUCAGAUUUGAUUUUCAACAUUGCAAUGAGUGGCGAACGGGUGAGUAACACGUGGGAAACCUACCUCUUAGCAGGGGAUAACAUUUGGAAACAAAUGCUAAUACCGUAUAAUAAUUAAAACCGCAUGGUUUUAGUUUAAAAGAUGGUCUUGCUAUCACUAAGAGAUGGUCCCGCGGUGUAUUAGUUAGUUGGUGAGGUAAAGGCCCACCAAGGCAAUGAUACGUAGCCGACCUGAGAGGGUGAUCGGCCACAUUGGGACUGAGACACGGCCCAAACUCCUACGGGAGGCAGCAGUAGGGAAUCUUCCACAAUGGACGAAAGUCUGAUGGAGCAACGCCGCGUGUGUGAUGAAGGGUUUCGGCUCGUAAAACACUGUUGUAAGAGAAGAAUGACAUUGAGAGUAACUGUUCAAUGUGUGACGGUAUCUUACCAGAAAGGAACGGCUAAAUACGUGCCAGCAGCCGCGGUAAUACGUAUGUUCCAAGCGUUAUCCGGAUUUAUUGGGCGUAAAGCGAGCGCAGACGGUUAUUUAAGUCUGAAGUGAAAGCCCUCGGCUCAACCGAGGAAUUGCUUUGGAAACUGGAUAACUUGAGUGCAGUAAAGGAAAGUGGAACUCCAUGUGUAGCGGUGAAAUGCGUAGAUAU
rnacentral:rRNA from 1 species